CAGCCGCCGCGGUAACACCAGCCCCUCGAGUGGUGGGGAUGAUUAUUUGGCCUAAAGCGUCCGUAGCUUGCCGGAAAAGUUUCCCGUUAAAUCCGACGUCUCAAGCGUUGGUCUGCGGGAAAUACUGUCCGGCUAGAGAGUGGGAGAGGUUAGCGGUAUUCUGGGGGUAGGGGCGAAAUCCUUUGAUCCCCGGAGGACCACCAGUGGCGAAGGCUGCUGACUAGAACACGUCUGACGGUCAGGGACGAAAGCUGGGGUAGCGAACCGGAUUAGAUACCCGGGUAGUCCCAGCCGUAAACGAUGCAUGCUAGGUGUUGGGUUGGCCACGAGCCACCCCAGUGCCGCAGGGAAGCCGUUAAGCAUGCCGCCUGGGAAGUACGAUCGCAAGGUUGAAACUUAAAGGAAUUGGCGGGGGAGCAC
rnacentral:rRNA from 2 species